rnacentral:lncRNA from 10 species
UGCUAUUGUGAAUAAUGCCGCAAUAAACAUACGUGCACACUAAUAUUUAUUGUAGCUUUAUUUGUGACAACUAACACCUAGAAACGACCUAGAUAUCCACCAGCAAGUCAAUGGCUAGACCAAUCAGGAUGUAUUGGUGCAAUGGAGGAGGGCUCGGCAAUGAAAGGGCAGCAGCUGCUGAUGCGUCCUGUGUUGCUGAAUCUCGAACACAUCACACUGAGCAAGAACAGCUGGCAGCAGAACAGCAGGCACUGUAUGAUUCCAUGUUGCACAAUUCAAGAAGAUGCAGACACAUCUAUAAUGCCAGGAAGCAGCUCUUCCUGGCAAGGGGCUCGCGGAGAGCGAGUGACGGAGAACUCUGGGGUGAUAGGAGCCUCGUUUUUCUGACUGUGGUCUAAGUCUCGCUGGUGUGGAGAUAAGUCAGAACUCCUCACCGUGUAGGUUUUAAAGAUGUGCAGUUUACUGUGCACCAGUUAUGCCACAGUAAAGCUCUAAGCCAGGACGAAAAGAAGACUAAAACACUGGCAAGAAAUCCAACACUUUUCGUCCUAUUUUGGGCUCAAAAAUAUACGAUAAUCUUUUUAGAUUUGAAGGUAGAUUCAGGCUAAAAUACUGAGCUCAGAGGUGGUUCCUCAAAUGUCCAUGUCCUAAAGGAGAGUGCAUUCUUAUAAUAAGUUGGUUGUGAGUUAUUUUAAAUCCAUAUCACAUAUCAGAAAGUACAUUGCAUUGAAAGUGAUCAAAAGCCACCUUAUGUAAUGGGGACCUGUAAACAGCUACAGGUUUGGAAGAGAAAAUUUCUGAGAAAAUAUCCAAAUCUAUUCUUUUUGGGAAUGAUUCACUUUUACUCUUCGUGUACGUGUGUGUGUGACAAAGUCUCGCUCUUGUUCCCACGCUGGAGUGUGAUGGCACAACCUCGCCUCACUGCAACCUCUGCCUCCUGGGUUCAAGCAAUUCUCCUGCCUCAGCCUCCGGAAUAGCUGGGAUUACAGGCACACAUCACCACGCCCAGCUAAUUUUUGUAUUUUUAGUAGAGACGGGGUUUCACCAUGUUGUCCAAGCUGGUCUCGAACUCCUGACCUCAGGUGAUCUGCCUGCCUCGGCCUUGCAAACAGCUGGGAGUACAGGCAUGAGCCACUGUGCCCGGCUCUUUUAAUCUUUUAAUCAGGAAAUCAGCAGGACCUUUGAGAGAAGCAACUUAGGGCUCUAGACUCCUUUACAGGUUUCAUGGGGCUCUGGGGCCAUCUUGUGGUGACGAGCAGGCGCAUAGAGCACGAGAAAGAAGAGAAAGAAGGGGAGAAAGGCGUCACAGGCUGUCAGCGAGUACAGUUAUGUAAAGAUGAGGGUCUUUUAAAAAAGCUUAGGUUACUUAGUAAUCGAUAAUACAGAAGCGAUUAAAGUCUUUCUCAAAUUUUACUACGCAUAAGAAUCACCCAACAAGUCCUGUUUAAAUGAAGUGUGUGAUUCAGCAUUUCUUGGGGAGGCUUCAUUCCUGCCUCUCUCAUGCCCCAUUCAGAAUGCCCAGUGCAGAUUGCAGGCCAGGCUCUGAGCAGCAGGCAGGGCUUAGAAGGUGAGGAAGAGAGACAGACACGAAUUCCCAAGGGUUGAAGUUAGUAUCUUGAGCUGAACCCCAAGCCUCCUAGCAUUGUGUCCCAUGCAUGCACAGUCCCAGCCUUUUGGAUUGGAGUGAGACACAGGACCCCGUGAGCAUGAGGGCAGCUGAGGCUUCCACAGAAGCUGAGUGGGGUGGGGACUCCGGGCACUCCUCAUUCUCAUAGCAGGGAGCUUACCAGACGCUCCAAAAACUAAAGAAGUCCAAAGUCAACUAGGCCAGGAUUUCUGUUUUUCUCAAUAUUAGAGUCUUGGUAACAGGUAUAUAAAACUCAUUUAUUUGAAAUUGCUUUUCAACCCAGGCAUGGUGGCUCAUGUCUGUGAUCCCAGCACUUUGGGAGGCUGAGGCAGGAGGAUCAUUUGAGCUCAGAAGUUCAAGACCAGCCUGGGCAACAUAGUGAGACCUCGUCUCUACUAAAAAUAAAAAACAAUUAGCUAGGUAUGGUGGCGCACACCUGCAGUCCCAGCUACUCAGGAGGCUGAGGAAGGAGGAUCUCAUGAACCCAGGAGAUCAAGGAUGCAGUGAGCUAUAAUUAUGCCACUGCACUCCAGCCUGGGCAACAGAGUGAGAUUCUGUCUCAAAACAUUUUUUUUAAAGAAUUUUUUCUAUAUAUAUAUAUAUAUAUAUAUAUAUAUAUAUAUAUAUUUUUUUUUUUUUUUUUUUUGAGAUGGAGUCUCACUGUAUCACCCAGGCUACAGUGCAAUGGUGUGAUCUCAGCUCACUGCAACCUCCGACUCCCAAGUUCAAGCAAUUCUUCUCCCUCAGCCUCCAAAGUAGCUGGGAUUAUAGGCACCCGCCAUCAUGCCUGGGUAAUUUUUGUAUUUUUAGUAGAGAUGGGGUUUCGCCAUGUUGGCCAGGCUGGUCUCAAACUCCUGACCUCAGGUGAUCUGCCCACCUUGGCCUCCCAAACGGCUGGGAUAACAAGUGUGAGCCACUGCCCCUGGCCUCUAUAGGUAUAUAUUUUCUAAAUUCCAAAUUUGUCUAGCUAGCUAGGGAAUGCAGCAAAAGAAAGGUGUCUAGAGCCCCAUUUGUUCCAAUACAAUAAACAUGGAAAGGACACAUAGUUCAGCUAACACUGAUUGAAGAUGUCCCAUGUUUGAGGCAGGCUAUAGGGGUGAUGGGGUCCCUACUGAACAUUGUGCAAAGAAACACAGCCGCCAUCCUCAAAAAGGCUGGCAUCGUGGUGGGGUAAAGUCUAUUCAAAAUGCCUCGUGGAUGAAUCUGGCACUUCCCUUACGAGCACAGUGCCACGUCCACGCUGCUGUUUGUCUUACAAAUGGACCAUUUGGGAUCUGGUCCCAGUCUAAAGAAGUAACGAAGUAACAAGGAGGCGUCCUCCUCACAACAAAGAAAGGUGGGAGGGAGGGACGGGGAGAAAGAGCUAGAGAGACAGAGAGAAAACAGAUGGAUCAUUUCCCCAAUCAGUAAGAAACUUUCAAAAUAUUUUAAUACCUUCUUUUAAAUAUGAUUCACUCAAACUAUUUUUUUAAAACCAUGAAUCACGCCAAGAAAUGAAUCUAAUUUGACCCACACGCGGGCUGAAAUCAGUUUCACAAAGAGGUUGUUACUCUUACUCAAUGUGGUGCAUUCAGGUAUUUUUUGUUCUAUUUCAUUGCAUUAAACAAAAAGAAUGCUGGUCACUGCCUACCAAGAGGCUCAUACAGCUCACUGACUAACUCAGGGGUACUUGUCAUUCCUGGACACUUGGUCCCCAGCCCACCCGGCUCUCCUCUCUAGGAAGCAAGCUGCCUGAGGCUAUUUUAAGUGCUCUCCUUUCUCCACCAAGAAUUGGAAUCUGCCCAGCUGAGCCCCAGACGCUGGAGGGGUCCCGGGGGUCAGUCAGCCCUGCACCACCCUCCAGCUCCUCUUCUGGCCAUACAAGGAAGUCCAGUGUGGGGAUGACUAAGCAGCUGACCCGGGGCGGGGGAGGGCAGCCCUGGAGCGGGAGGCAGGGCCGGCCUCUCCUGCCAGCCAUCAGCCCCUGCGGGCUUGUCCUGUGGUGAAAAGUCCCAGGCCUCCACCCAGGCAGCACCUGACCUCUCUGCUCCCUGAGAGGAGUGAAGUGGACCUCAAGGUCUGGAGGUGGAGGCACAGCCUUGCACUGACAUCAGGCCCUAAGCUCUAGUUCUACACAGAGAUAGCCCAUCUGUCCUGGCCUCCCGGGGGCUCCCAGGGGCAGGGAGAUCUGGCCUGGCCUUCCCAGCAAUGCGUGCCUCAGUGGAGAAACCCCAGCUUCCCAGCAUUAGGACACACACUCUCUCUCACACCCUCCGUGGUUCCCACUGACCUCACUGCAAAGUCCACAGUAGAAACUCACAGAGACCUGCUGAAGAGGCACCUGCCCAGCUGUCAGCCUGUUCCUCCACCUGCUCCCCCAACCUGCCCUCUCACCUGCUGUCUACACUCAUUCCCCCCACCUGCUCUCUCACCUUCCUCUUCCACCCGCUCCUCCCACCUGCUCUCUCACCUGCUGUCUACACCUGCUCCCCCCACCUGCUCUCUCACCUGUUGUCUACACCUGCUCCCCCCACCUGCUCUCUCACCUGCUGUCUACACCUGUUCUCUGCUCUGGCUGCCCCCACCCAUCCAUCUCCCCCACACCCUUCUUGGACACUGCCCGGUGCUGCCCAGCUCCCUCACACAACACUGCCCCUCCCCACUCAUGUCCUGCUUCCUCGAUGGUCUUCCCAGAGGAGGCCCCACGUUCUCAGCCCCUACCUGUUCCUCAGGUCACCAUUUCCUGGAGCCACCUUCCAUCCCCCAGAACUCAGCUGGGCCCUGCAGACAUGUACAUGCUACCAGGUGACCUGUGGCCACUCCUCCUGCAAAGCUUUUCCAGGUGUCUCUGUUUUUCUUGUUCCUCAGAACGAUAAAAGUUCCCAGAUCCCAGGGACUUUCAGGCUGCUCCCACCACAGAGCUGGCCAGCAUCCUUUGAGGCAGAGAGAUGCUAGGGGGUCUCAGUCCUGGGAAGCUCUGGGAUGAACAUGGCUCCUGAGCAUAGACACCACCCUGACAGAGGCUCGUGCGUGUUCAGCUUCAUCCUCGGAACUUUACACUCACUCUUGACUCACUCCACUUUCUGUGUCUUUUUUUUUUUUUUGGCCUGACUUUUAAAAAAACAAUCUGAGAAUAAAGUGUAAAAAGAAAGUUUCUGAAUCCUUAACUGAGGUCAAAAUCUUGGAGCGAAAGCCAAAGAUGCAGUGGCCAAGAAGCCCGGGGAACGGGGGGCGCCCCCCAACCCAGAAUCAGUCACCAGUGGGGAGAAAACCCCCGAACCCAGAAUCAGUCAGCAGUGGAGAGAAAACCCCCGAACCCAGAACCAGUCAGCAGUGGAGAGAAAACCCCCGAACCCAGAACCAGUCAGCAGUGGAGAGAAAACCCCCGAACCCAGAACCAGUCAGCAGUGGGGAGAAAACAAGAGCUUCUAUGUGCGGCUCCCUGACGAGCACUUGGAAAGCAAAUGCGUUUCAGCCCAGAAGAAGGUCAAGUGAGGAAAUGCCCUAAAUGGGGCUUAUUCCUUGCCCAGCCCUGAGACUGGGCUGGAGGCCCCAGGCAGGAGAGGGAGGGCCAGGCCGUUUCAGGCUGUCACCACAGAAAAUGCUGAUGGAGCAGGAGGCUGCAGAGUGAGUCGACCUUUCUGCCCUCUAUGCAGAGGCCCAGCCCUUGUGGGCGGACCUCCUGACUCCCUCUUCUUACUUAGUCUGGCUACUGUUGGCAUAUUAAAGUUGGUGAUCAUUUUGAACAUGAG